GUAGAGAGAGCAGAGAGAGUGGAGAGAGGAGAGAGAAAGAGAGAGCAGAGUGAGGAGAGAGAAAGAGAGAGCAGAGAGUGGAGAGAGAGCAGACAGUAGAGCGAAAGAGAGCACACAAAGAGGAGAAGAGGAGAGAGAAAGAGAGAGCAGAGAGAGGAGAGAGCAGAGAGAGGAGAGAGAAAGAGAGAGCAGAGAGAGGAGAGAGAAGGAGAGAGCAGAGAGAGAGAGAGCAGAGAGGAGAGAGAAAGAGGGAGCAGAGAGAGGAGAGAGAAAGAGAGGGGAGAGAGAGAGAGUGAGCAGAGAGAGUAGAGAGAGCAGAGAGAUGAGAGAGAAAGAGAGAGGAGAGAGAAAGAGAGAGCAGAGAGAAGAGAGAGGAGAGAGAAAGAGAGAGCAGAGAGGAGAGAGAAAGAGAAAGAGAGAGCAGAGAGAGGAGAGAGAGCAGACAGAGUAGAGAGUGGAGAGAGAAAGAGAGAGCAGAGAGUGGAGAGAGAGCAGAGAGUAGAGCGAAAGAGAGAGCACACAAAGAGGAGAGAGAGGAGAGAGAAAGAGAGAGCAGAGAGAGGAGAGAGAAAGAGAGAGCAGAGAGAGGAGAGAGAAGGAGAGAGCAGAGAGAGGAGAGAGAGCAGAGAGGAGAGAGAAAGAGGGAGCAGAGAGAGGACAUAGAGGAGAGAGAAAGAGAGAGCAGAGAGAGGAGACAGAGAGAAGAGGAGAGAGAGCAGAGAGAGGAGAUAGAAAGAGAGAGCAGAGAGAGGAGAGAGAAAGAGAGAGCAGAAAGAGAGAGAAAGAGAGAGCAGAGAGAGGAGAGAGAAAGAGAGAGGGAGCAGAGAGAAGGAGGAAGAGAGAAAGAGGGAGCAGAGAGAGGAGAGAGAAAGAGAGAGCAGAGAGAGGAGAGAGAGGAGAGAGAAAGAGAUAGCAGAGAGAGGAGAGAGAAAGAGAGGGAGCAGAGAGAAGGGGGAAGAGAGAAAGAGGGAGCAGAGAGAGGAGAGAUAAAAAGAGGAGAGAGAAAGAGAGCAGAGAGCGGAGAGAGCAGAGAGAGGAGAGAGAAAGAUGGAAAGAAAGGGAGAAAGCUGCAGGGUCAACUGGGAUCUCUGUCAGGAUUUAGAGCUUUUCUUCAGGAGAGGAAAAGGAUUAAACUACAGAGGAACUCCCUCCAGCGUCCCUCGUCACUGCACUGUCUCUCCACCCUAAUAUCUCUGGCUUUACCCUGUAAAUAUACGCCAUGCCAGAUAAGAGCCGUAUAGUAUGGAAGACAUUUCCCUGCUGCGUCUCCUACUGCCUGCAGGCUGUGAGAGUAGUGGGCCCUAUAGUGAGGGGGCGUCAGUAAUAUUCUAGCUCCCUGCUUGUCCAGUUCAUUUUACUCUGUCAAUCUGAGCAUCUCCUCCACAGCGCUGCCACAGUCAUUACAUAAGACAGAACGUUUUCCAGUGUAACAGUUUACAAUCUCCUUCAGUCUGGUGGGAGCAGGCCCGGAGACCUAGGGCCUCCUAGCUUACGCUGCUAGUCAUAACACCUCCAUGAGAUCUCACAGGAAGAAAAUACACUACCUCUCAGUGGAAUAGACAUGUCUUUUCUCUCACAGAUGAAGCUCCUAGGUAAGGUCUGUGAGACCGAGAGGAUCUCUUUGUGCCGUACUGUGUAUGUACACGUGUGCGUGUGUGUCGGGGUCUCUGUUACGGAAAUGUGGGGCCGGAAAUAUUACCGGCAACAAUUUCACUUACCAGACAUUUGAGAAAUUUACCGGACCCAUAUUCAUUGGUGUGUGAGACAGAAAGAGUGUGUGUGAGACAAAGAGAGAGAGAGAGAGAGAGAGAGAGAGAGAGAGAGAGAGAGAGAGUAUGUGUGACAGAGAGAGAGAGUGUAUGUGAGACAGAGAGAGUAUGUGAGACAGAGAGAGACAGAGAGAGUGUGUGAGACAGAGAGAGAGAGAGAGAGAGUGUGUGUGAGACAGAGAGAGAGAGUAUGUGAGACAGAGAUAGAGUGUGUGUGAGACAGAGAGAGAGAGCGUGUGUGAGAUAGAGAGAGAGUGUUUGUGAGACAGAAAUAGUAUGUGAGAGGGAGUGUAUGUGAGACAGAGAGAGAGAGAGAGAGACAGAGAGAGAGAG
ensembl:lncRNA